rnacentral:rRNA from 1 species
CGUAGGCGGGCGAGCAAGUCCGGGGUGAAAGCCUCCGGCUUAACCGGAGAAGGGCCUUGGAUACUGCUCGUCUUGAGGGAGGUAGGGGCUUGUGGAACUUCCGGUGGAGCGGUGAAAUGCGUUGAUAUCGGAAGGAACGCCGGUGGCGAAAGCGACAAGCUGGCCCUCUUCUGACGCUGAGGCGCGAAAGCUAGGGGAGCAAACG